rnacentral:miRNA from 1 species
UCACCGGGCUCGAAUCCUUGUC